rnacentral:rRNA from 1 species
UACGGAGGGGGCAAGCGUUGCUCGGAAUCACUGGGCGUAAAGGGCGCGUAGGCGGGGAGGUAAGUCGGGUGUGAAAUCCCUUGGCCCAACCGAGGAACUGCGCCCGAGACUGCUUCUCUUGAGUCCCGGAGAGGAAGGUGGAAUUCCCGGUGUAGCGGUGAAAUGUGUAGAGAUCGGGAGGAACACCGGUGGCGAAGGCGGCCUUCUGGACGGUGACUGACGCUGAGGCGCGAAAGCGUGGGGAGCAAACGGG